rnacentral:rRNA from 1 species
GAUGAACGCUGGCGGCGUGCCUAAUACAUGCAAGUCGAGCGAACAGACGAUGAGCUUGCUCCUCUGACGUUAGCGGCGGACGGGUGAGUAACACGUGGAUAACCUACCUAUAAGACUGGUAUAACUUCGGGAAACCGGAGCUAAUACCGGAUAAUAUAUUGAACCGCAUGGUUCAAUAGUGAAAGACGGUUUUGCUGUCACUUAUCGAUGGAUCCGCGCCGCAUUAGCUAGUUGGUAAGGUAACGGCUUACCAAGGCGACGAUGCGUAGCCGACCUGAGAGGGUGAUAGGCCACACUGGAACUGAGACACGGUCCAGACUACUACGGGAGGCAGCAGUAGGGAAUCGUCCGCAAUGGGCGAGAGCCUGACGGAGCAACGCCGAGUGAGUGAUGAAGGUCUUCGGAUCGUAAAACUCUGUUAUUAGGGAAGAACAAAUGUGUAAGUAACUAUGCACGUAUUGACGGUACCUAAUCAGAAAGCCACGGCUAACUACGUG